ACAGAAAGAGGAAUUCCCUGAAUGGGCACCAAGGGAGUACAAAGGCAAGAGUGAAACUUCUUGGGGAAUGAAAUCAAGUGCAAAACUAUCUUACCAGGAACAGCAGAGACAGAAGCAUUUUGAAAAAGGAAGAGACUACAAAUAUGGGACUUCAUAUGGAUUGGAGUCGGACUUGUGUGCAGAUGAAGCCUGCAAGGCAUUGAAGAGAAAGGCACAAGAUGAACCCACAAGGGGCUAUAAAGUCAGAAAUGAGACUUCAUGUAAGGCAAAG